UACGAAGGGGGCUAGCGUUGUUCGGAUUUACUGGGCGUAAAGCGCACGUAGGCGGAUCGUUAAGUCGGGGGGUGAAAUCCUGGAGCUCAACUCCAGAACUGCCUUCGAUACUGGAAGGCUUGAAUCCGGGAGAGGGAUGUGGAAUUCCAGGUGUAGCGGUGAAAUGCGUAGAUAUCUGGAGGAACACCGGUGGCGAAGGCGACAUCCUGGACCGGUAUUGACGCUGAGGAGCGAAAGCCAGGGGAGCAAAGCGGG
rnacentral:rRNA from 1 species